rnacentral:rRNA from 1 species
GAUGAACGCUGGCGGCGUGCCUAAUACAUGCAAGUCGAGCGAACAGACGAGGAGCUUGCUCCUCUGACGUUAGCGGCGGACGGGUGAGUAACACGUGGAUAACCUACCUAUAAGACUGGGAUAACUUCGGGAAACCGGAGCUAAUACCGUAUAAUAUAUUGAACCGCAUGGUUCAAUGGUGAAAGACGGUUUUGCUGUCACUUAUAGAUGGAUCCGCGCCGCAUUAGCUAGUUGGUAAGGUAACGGCUUACCAAGGCAACGAUGCGUAGCCGACGUGAGAGGGUGAUCGGCCACACUGGAACUGAGACACGGUCCAGACUCCUACGGGAGGCAGCAGUAGGGAAUCUUCCGCAAUGGGCGAAAGCCUGACGGAGCGACGCCGCGUGAGUGAUGAAGGUCUUCGGAUCGUAAAACUCUGUUAUUAGGGAAGAACAAAUGUGUAAGUAACUAUGCACGUAUUGACGGUACCUAAUCAGAAAGCCACGGCUAACUACGUG